GAUGAACGCUGGCGGCGUGCCUAAUACAUGCAAGACGAGCGAACAGACGAGGAGCUUGCUCCUCUGACGUUAGCGGCGGACGGGUGAGUAACACGUGGAUAACCUACCUAUAAGACUGGGAUAACUUCGGGAAACCGGAGCUAAUACCGGAUAAUAUAUUGAACCGCAUGGUUCAAUAGUGAAAGACGGUUUUGCUGUCACUUAUAGAUGGAUCCGCGCCGCAUUAGCUAGUUGGUAAGGUAACGGCUUACCAAGGCGACGAUGCGUAGCCGACCUGAGAGGGUGAUCGGCCACACUGGAGCUGAGACACGGUCCAGACUCCUACGGGAGGCAGCAGUAGGGAAUCUUCCGCAAUGGGCGAAAGCCUGACGGAGCAACGCCGCGUGAGUGAUGAAGGUCUUCGGAUCGUAAAACUCUGUUAUUAGGGAAGAACAAAUGUGUAAGUAACUAUGCACGUCUUGACGGUACCUAAUCAGAAAGCCACGGCUAACUACGUG
rnacentral:rRNA from 1 species